rnacentral:tRNA from 1 species
GCUCCGUUGGUCAAGGGGUUAAGACACCGCCUUUUCACGGCGGUAACACGGGUUCGAAUCCCGUACGGAGUA